CUGGCUGGACUGACCCCCGAGAGGCUCCACUGGUCAGCUAGCAUGGGGGGCCGCCCCUGUUGCGUAGCCAGUUUCUCCUCACCUUCUGUUCCCCUGGGCUUCCUGGGGUUUGUGUGUCUGGCACUGAUGCUGGACUCCCUGUGCUGGCCACCCGCCUGGUAGGCAGCAGCCAAAUCCCUGAAGGUGAGUGCUGGUGCCUCAGUCGCUCACUCCACUGCAGCUGCAGGACCCAGCCCUUCCAUUCACAGUGCUGGCCUGGGGAAGUGGAGAUGCCACUGUGUGGUGGCAGAAUGGUGUGUGAGUUGUCCUGCACAUGUUAAGGCUCCUCACCUUGUGCUCCCCCAGCCAGAGCUGUUUGCUGGUCAGCCCCAACAACCACCCGGGCCUGUCAAGUUUGUUUCUUCUUUCUGCAGGUGCCAGGUCAUUGAGCUUUGACCAUUUGGGACACUCCUGAACCCAAGGAACUAUGACCUCAGAGCAGCACACACACUUGCCCCAUGCACGCAAAAUUUGCCAUGCUUCCCCAGCUGCAGAACACGAUUCAUCAGGUGGCACCGCCACUGCAUGACUGAGAGUCAGUCUAUUGCUCCACGCGGCCCAGUACAGGACUGGGGUCAGGCCCCAGAGAGCUGGCCAGCAGGGAUGGCUGAGAAGUCUCUCAGGAGCACAGAUUGCUUUUUACUCCUGGAUGAAGUGUUUUGAAGGCAGGAAAGUCAGCCCCUGCAUUUCUUCUUUCAAUGAGAGACGGACGCAGCUCCUGGGGGUCGCCAGGAACCCGGGCACCUUCGCGUCCCUGAUCUGAUGUGACCGAGCCCUGGUCGCGCCUUCGGAACUUCGACUGUUGGUGACCCGCGGGUCACGGGCCGAGGCUCGGGGCGGGAGGUGGCGCACAGCGGGCCCGGUGUCCAUGCCCAGAAAGGCUCGGGCCGAAGCGCCGCAUGUGGCCCUGGACCCCUGGGCCCGCCAGGCCGGGCCGCUGCUGCCGAGUCCUGCAGACCCCGCAGGACGCGCCUCUCUGCGCUCACCAGGUACCGCCAGGAGACACCGCCGAGUCUCCUGAGCACCACCCGACUCCCCCUGGGCUCCUGGGAAAGCCCCAGACCCGAGACGGCUCAGCGGAGCAGUCCCCGGCGACCCUGCGGAGAGAGCUCAGGCCCGCAGCAGCCCCCCGCGGCCAGGACCCCUGGGAA